GCAAUUGAGAUACAAAGUCGUGCGCUGUGUAGAUAUAAAGUCGACCACUGGAUUUGUUACAUCCCGAGUGCUUGAGCUGAAAUGUUAAGAUGUGGACGUUAGAUCUUCCGCGCUGGACUUUAAAUCUUUGAUUCUGUACGAACUCUUUUCACUAAAAAUCUUAAGUGUUAAAUGCAUCUUACAUGUAUGUCUAAAAUAUUCCUUAACAAUUCAACUAAACAUUUUUGUCGUAAGAUUAAUUCUACACUUAAGACUUUUUGUGAAAAGGGGUACUUUAAGAUUUAUGAC
rnacentral:lncRNA from 1 species